UGUCUAAAGCUUUCUUAACAGUAACUUUACUUGGGACCUCCUGAUAAGUUAGGACUGAUUAACUUCUCUAACCUACUGAAGAGGCACCUUAAAACUGAUUUGAGAGGAGUUGACUAUAAAAAUUAAUACUGUCAGCUAACAUUUGUUGAGUAUAUACAUUGUUUUAGGCUCUGAGAUUGAACACUAUACUUGAAUAAACCUCAUUUCAUCUUAAGAAAAAUACUUGGAGGCGCCUGGGUGGCUCAGUGGGUU